AGGUCUGCAACCCGACUCCAUGAAGCUGGAUUCGCUAGUAAUCGCGCAUCAGCCACGGCGCGGUGAAUACGUUCCCGGGCCUUGUACACACCGCCCGUCAAGCCAUGGAAGCCGGGAGUGCCUGAAGUGCGUGAGCGCAAGCAGCGCCCUAAGGUAAAACCGGUGACUGGGGCUAAGUCGUAACAAGGUAUC
rnacentral:rRNA from 1 species